rnacentral:rRNA from 1 species
CCCCUCGGUCGGGGACAACUUUUGGAAACGAAAGCUAAUACCCGAUACGCUGUGGAGUGAAAGAAUUUCGCCGAGGGAUGAUCUUGCGUCUGAUUAGCUAGUUGGUGCGGUAAUGGCGCACCAAGGCGACGAUCAGUAGCUGGUCUGAGAGGAUGAACAGCCACAUUGGAACUGAGACACGGUCCAAACUCCUACGGGAGGCAGCAGUGGGGAAUUUUCCGCAAUGGACGAAAGUCUGACGGAGCGACGCUGCGUGAAGGAUGACGGCCUGCGGGUUGUAAACUUCUUUUCUCGAAGAAGAAGCUCUGACGGUAUUCGAGGAAUAAGCAUCGGCUAACUCCGUGCCAGCAGCCGCGGUAAGACGGAGGAUGCAAGUGUUAUUCGGAAUGAUUGGGCGUAAAGCGUCUGUAGGCUGUAUAGAAAGUCUUUUGUUAAAUACCUCGGCUCAACCGAGAUCCAGCAAAGGAAACUUCUAUACUUGA